UACGGAGGGUGCAAGCGUUGUUCGGAAUUAUUGGGCGUAAAGAGCGUGUAGGCGGUUCGGUAAGUCAGAUGUGAAAGCCCUGGGCUCAACCCAGGAAGUGCAUUUGAAACUACCAGACUUGAGUACGGGAGAGGAGGGGGGAAUUCCCGGUGUAGAGGUGAAAUUCGUAGAUAUCGGGAGGAAUACCAGUGGCGAAGGCGCCCCUCUGGACCGAUACUGACGCUGAGACGCGAAAGCGUGGGGAGCAAACAGGAUUAGAUACCCCCGUA
rnacentral:rRNA from 1 species